rnacentral:rRNA from 1 species
AGUGGCGAACGGGUGAGUAACGCGUGAGUAUCUGCCCUUAGGAGGGGGACAACAGUUGGAAACGACUGCUAAUACCCCAUAUGUCUACGGAUGAAAGAUUUUAUCGCCUGAGGAUGAACUCGCGUCUGAUUAGCUAUUUGGUGAGGUAAUGGCUCACCAAGGCAACGAUCAGUAGCUGGUCUGAGAGGAUGAUCAGCCACACUGGGACUGAGACACGGCCCAGACUCCUACGGGAGGCAGCAGUGGGGAAUUUUCCGCAAUGGGGGCAACCCUGACGGAGCAAUACCGCGUGCGGGAGGACGGCCUGUGGGUUGUAAACCGCUUUUCUCAGGGAAGAAGACCUGACGGUACCUGAGGAAUCAGCAUCGGCUAACUCCGUGCCAGCAGCCGCGGUAAUACGGAGGAUGCAAGCGUUAUCCGGAAUUAUUGGGCGUAAAGCGUCCGUAGGUGGUUAAUCAAGUCUGCUGUUAAAGAGCGGAGCUUAACUCCGUUUAAGCGGUGGAAACUGGUUGACUAGAGAGUGGUAGGGGUAGAGGGAAUUCCCAGUGUAGCGGUGAAAUGCGUAGAUAUUGGGAAGAACACCGGUGGCGAAAGCGCUCUACUGGGCCACAUCUGACACUGAUGGACGAAAGCUAGGGGAGCGAAAGGGAUUAGAUACCCC